UACGGGGGGAGCAAGCGUUGUUCGGAUUUACUGGGCGUAAAGGGCGCGUAGGCGGUCAGCACAAGUCAGUUGUGAAAUCUCCGGGCUUAACUCGGAAAGGUCAACUGAUACUGUGCGACUAGAGUGCAGAAGGGGCAACUGGAAUUCUCGGUGUAGCCGGUGAAAUGCGUAGAUAUCGGAAGGAACAUCAGUGGCGAAAGCGACUUCCCUGGACCAG
rnacentral:rRNA from 1 species